UACAGAGGGUGCUAGCGUUGUUCGGAAUCAUUGGGCGUAAAGGGCGUGUAGGCGGUUUGUUAAGUCAUGUGUGAAAUCCCUCGGCUCAACCGGGGAACGACGCAUGAAAACUGGCAAGCUAGAGUACCAAAGAGGGGGGUGGAAUUCCCGGUGUAGCGGUGAAAUGCGUAGAUAAUCGGGAGGAACACCGGUGGCGAAGGCGGCAUCCUGGACCAACAUUGACGCUGAGGAGCGAAAGCUAGGGGAGCAAACGGGA
rnacentral:rRNA from 1 species